UACGUAGGGUGCGAGCGUUGUCCGGAAUUAUUGGGCGUAAAGGGCUCGUAGGCGGUCCAUCGCGUCGGGAGUGAAAAGCUGGGGCUUAACCCCAGUCCUGCUUUCGAUACGGGUGGACUAGAGGUAGGCAGGGGAGAAUGGAAUUCCUGGUGUAGCGGUGAAAUGCGCAGAUAUCAGGAGGAACACCGGUGGCGAAGGCGGUUCUCUGGGCCGAUAUUGACGCUGAGGAGCGAAAGCGUGGGGAGCGAACAGG
rnacentral:rRNA from 1 species